ACGAACGCUGGCGGCGUGCUUAACACAUGCCAGUCGCACGGAAAGGCCCUGCUUUUGUGGGGUGCUCGAGUGGCGAACGGGUGAGUAACACGUGAGCAACCUGCCCUUGACUUUGGGAUAACUUCAGGAAACUGGGGCUAAUACCGGAUAGGAGCUCCUGCUGCAUGGUGGGGGUUGGAAAGUUUCGGCGGUUGGGGAUGGACUCGCGGCUUAUCAGCUUGUUGGUGGGGUAGUGGCUUACCAAGGCUUUGACGGGUAGCCGGCCUGAGAGGGUGACCGGCCACAUUGGGACUGAGAUACGGCCCAGACUCCUACGGGAGGCAGCAGUGGGGAAUAUUGCACAAUGGGCGGAAGCCUGAUGCAGCAACGCCGCGUGCGGGAUGACGGCCUUCGGGUUGUAAACCGCUUUCGCCUGUGACGAAGCGUGAGUGACGGUAAUGGGUAAAGAAGCACCGGCUAACUACGUG
rnacentral:rRNA from 1 species